CGUAGAAGCAGAGAGAGAAACCUGGAAUACAUCGUCAGAAUCAAUUUUGGCAAUCGACUCUGGCCGUGAAUCAAAGGAUUUAGUGCAACUCAAGGAGUGUUUAUCCCAGAAGAGUGGCCGAGUCUCAUUAGAUCAGCACACUUGGGGGAUUGGAUUUGCUGCACUCUCUUCACGUUCUUUGUCACUCUGUGGCCCAUAACCACAGGGACAUCAACGGCUGCUGGAGGAGAAGAGCACAGCAGAGCCCCUGCAGAGGCCCCUCCCCGGGCAGUGCCACGGGGCCGCCUGGCUGAGGGCUCUGCAAAGACCCCGCUUCCAAGGCGGCCAUGAGUUUGCUGGACUUAGGAUUCAUGCAUUGCAAAAAGAUGGACGGUGAUGAGCAUCUUUCCAUGUGACAUGGUGCUUCAUUAGCAGAGAUGAAAACUAUGAUGGAAAAGACUCAGAGACUCCGAGGCUGAGGCAGCGAUAUUCUUUCCCUGGAUUACUGUGUUGGCCGCCAGUUCUUCCUGCUUUUCCCUGCCCUCUCCCAGCUUCAGUCUACCACAAGCAGCCCAUUGCUUCCUUGCAGGGCACAGGACAUGUGUGAGAACUGAGGCAGGAAGAUCGGAAGGUGAAGAUGCUCACAGGACAACUCGUGCUGGAAACAGGUGCAGAUCGGGAAAUGGUGGCAGGUCUUAAAAGAUUCUCCAGCACCCUCUGCAGUAGAACUUUCUAGAAUGUUCAUGAAAUACUGAAGAAUACAAAGAAUCAGGAAAGACGUUCAUGUCAAGAACCAAGACUUUGGUGUUGGACGUACCUCUUGAGAGUGACAGGAAGGCCUAAAGGAAGAAAGAAAUUGUGGACAGAAGAAAGAACAAGAGGGACAGCACGGAAGAACAAAGAGGAAGAACUUCCCUACAGUGGGACCAUGCUACAAUCUCAGGGGAAAUGGUACAUGAGAGUCAGUCGUGUAUAAACUUUGUAGCUACUUGGAUCUGGUUAACCGAGCUCCGGCAAACCUUGGGAUAUCUCGUGUUUCUCCACCUCCGUGCCUGGUCUGACCCACAUCUGACGCUGAGCAAUUGAACGAAGUCAUAGUUCACAUGCACAGCA